GGGACGGUCGCCGGCGUGCAGCCGCUGGUGGGACAGCAGACUGGGAGGAGCGGGUGAAGGCCUUGCUGCAAUGGGCGCAGGUGUAGGGGCGCUCGCCGGUGUGGGUGCGCUGGUGCGCCAGCAGGGUGCUGGAUUGGGCGAAGCCCUUGCCGCACUGGGCGCAGGUGUAGGGGCGCUCGCCGUUGUG